UUGGGGACAGGAAACCCAGGGAGCUCUGGUUUUGUUCCCAGGUCCUAUCAGUUCAGCUUCACCCAGCUCCUGCCGGCUCCUCGGGAGGAGACAAGGCUUGAAAACCCUGCCACCCACCCUGUGCUUGACCAGCCAUGUGGGCAGGGGCUCCCUGCACCAAACAACAGCAUCCAGGGCAAGAAAGUGGAGCUGGCCGCCCGCCUCCAAAAGAUGCUUCAGGACCUUCACACGGAGCAGGAGCGGCUGCAGGGGGAGGCACAAGCGUGGGCCAGGCGCCAAGCGGCUCUGGAGGCUGCAGUGCGCCAGGCCUGUGCCCCUCAGGAGCUGGAGCGGUUCAGCCGGUUCAUGGCCGACCUAGAGCGCGUGCUUGGCCUUCUGCUGCUGCUGGGCAGUCGCCUGGCGCGCGUGCGCCGCGCCCUGGCC
rnacentral:lncRNA from 1 species